rnacentral:rRNA from 1 species
UACGUAGGGGGCAAGCGUUGUCCGGAAUCAUUGGGCGUAAAGCGCGCGUAGGCGGCCCGGUAAGUCCGUUGUGAAAGUCAAAGGCUCAACCUUUGAACGCCGAUGGAUACUGCCGGGCUAGAGUCCGGAAGAGGCGAGUGGAAUUCCUGGUGUAGCGGUGGAAUGCGCAGAUAUCAGGAGGAACACCACUAGCGAAGGCAGCUCGCUGGGACGGUACUGACGCUGAGGCGCGAAAGCCAGGGGAGCAAACGGG